CGUGGGCGCUGGAAAGCUGAGGGGGGCUGCUCCUAGUACGAGAGGACCGGAGUGGACGCAUCACUGGUGUUCGGGUUGUCAUGCCAAUGGCACUGCCCGGUAGCUAAAUGCGGAAGAGAUAAGUGCUGAAAGAAUCUAAGCACGAAACUUGCACCGAGAUGAGUUCUCCCUGAGACUUUAAGUCUCCUGAAGGAACGUUGAAGACGACGACGUUGAUAGGCCGGGUGUGUAAGCGCAGCGAUGCGUUGAGCUAACCGGUACUAAUGAACCGUGAGGCUUAACCUUACAACGCCGAAG
rnacentral:rRNA from 1 species